rnacentral:rRNA from 1 species
AGAGUUUGAUCCUGGCUCAGAUUGAACGCUGGCGGCAUGCCUUACACAUGCAAGUCGAACGGCAGCACGGGGGCAACCCUGGUGGCGAGUGGCGAACGGGUGAGUAAUAUAUCGGAACGUGCCCUAGAGUGGGGGAUAACGUAGCGAAAGUUACGCUAAUACCGCAUACGAUCUUAAGGAUGAAAGUGGGGGAUCGCAAGACCUCAUGCUCGUGGAGCGGCCGAUAUCUGAUUAGCUAGUUGGUGGGGUAAAAGCCUACCAAGGCGACGAUCAGUAGCUGGUCUGAGAGGACGACCAGCCACACUGGGACUGAGACACGGCCCAGACUCCUACGGGAGGCAGCAGUGGGGAAUUUUGGACAGUGGGCGCAAGCCUGAUCCAGCAAUGCCGCGUGUGUGAAGAAGGCCUUCGGGUUGUAAAGCACUUUUGUCAGGAAA